AGGCUUGCAAGCUUUGGUUCGAAUCAGAUUCAUCAUCGAGUUUUCCGGUAACGAAGACUUUGAGAAGACUUUGAAUCAUUGGUACGAAAUCCUUAUACCCUUGGUAAAGCAGAGAGUAUGUCUAAACAAUGUCCGCGAAAGGCAGGCUCAUGAACAUGGCAUCGGGGGUUAAUGAACAAAUGGCGAAUGGGUGAAGACGAGGAAGCUUGAGGUUAGGAAGAGGUACAUGGUUGUGCGGGACUGCUCUGGUUCACGGUACGGGGCUGCUGACUCGUAUUCUCUUCCUUGUGUCAAAGCUGCAGGGAUGGCAUUAAACAAGUGAAUGAUGAAGCAAGGU